rnacentral:rRNA from 1 species
AUGCAUAAGGGACAGUCUACUUCUUUUGCUCAGUCCCCUUCUAUUAUCCCUUCGUCUUCAAUCCCAGAUGCCUUCCACCAGAAUGCACCUGCAAAUCCUAUUUCUCUCCCAUAUUUGCCCAGUCUACCCGCUCACUCUGCUGCUCACAUCAUUCAGACUUCUACUGCUACUGCAAUCUCAGCAGCUAUGGAGGACAAAAUUCUUAGUGAGAAAGAGUCUUUUAUUCCUCUUUCCCCCCAUAAGUCUCCUCCAUCAGAUUCCCAUCGCCUUCCGCCGGCCUCUCCUAGAUUCAGUCCCAAAAGGCCGUCGGAAUCGCUCUCUGGUUUGGCUCUCCCACUGCCAAAGCGGCUCGGGGUGCCUGGUGAUGGAGAAGGUGCUGAAGCGCAGAAGGGUUUCGCGGCUGAUGCGGGUCCGAUCGGAGUCGUGUCUCGUCCCAAGAGGCAGACUCAUGCUGGAUUGGGCAUUCUCGGAGCUCCGCCCGCCGAUGUUCUUGUCCACGGCCCAGCAGCUCAAGCUGGUACUUUGGGAGCCGCCACAGUUGCCCUUGCUACACCCAAACAUACAGCAGAUAAGGGAGCCAGCCGUCGAUUUGGACCUAGCAAAUGGGAUGUUCCUCCAUCUGGGAGGCCUACGGCGCUGCUAUGUGUGGAAGCAGCAGUAAGGUUAUGA